GCAAGAUACCACGGGCGCACGGCGGAUGCCUUGGCACAGGGAGCCGAUGAAGGACGCGGCAAGCUGCGAUAAUCCCCGGCGAGGAGCACACAUCCUUCGACCCGGGGGUCUCCGAAUGGGCGAACCCAUCCACAGCAGUGUGGAUAUCCCCACCCCGAACACAUAAGGGUGGGGAGGACAACCCGGGGAACUGAAACAUCUAAGUACCCGGAGGAGAGGAAAUCAAUCUCGAGACUCCCCGAGUAGCGGCGAGCGAAAGGGGACCGAUGGCCAAACCGUCGAGCGGGCAUACCCGGCAGGGGUUCCGCCGACGGGGUUGCAGGGCCGCGCAUCCGGGGGCUGCCGCCCCCGGGCGCAGGUCCGGCUGGGGAGCGGAACGGCAUGGGAGGGCCGGCCGCAGCGGGUGACAGCCCCGUACGCGAACCCAGACCGGACGGCGCGACGCGGUCCCUGAGUAGGGCCGGGCACGUGAAACCCGGUCCGAACCUGGGUGGACCACCAUCCAAGCCUGAGUACUACCCUGUGACCGAUAGCGCACCAGUACCGUGAGGGAAAGGUGAAAAGCACCCCGGGAGGGGAGUGAAACAGUACCUGAAACCGUGCGCCCACGAGCAGUCGGAGCAACUUUAUGUUGUGACGGCGUGCCUUUUGUAGAAUGAGCCAGCGAGUCGCUGGCGCGGGGCGAGGUUAACCGAAAGGGAGCCGGAGCGAAAGCGAGCCUUAACAGGGCGACUUGAGUCCCGCGCCGCGGACGCGAAGCCGGGUGAGCUAUCCGUGGGCAGGCUGAAGCGGGGGUAAGACCCCGUGGAGGGCCGAACGCACGUCGGUUGAAAACGGCGGCGAUGACCUGCGGAUAGGGGUGAAAGGCCAAUCAAACCCGGAGAUAUCUCGUUCUCCCCGAAAUAGCUUUAGGGCUAGCGUCGCGCGUUCACCGCCGGAGGUAGAGCACCGGAUGGACGAGGGGGCUUCGCCGCCUACCGAAUCCAACCGAACUCCGAAUGCCGGCGGCCCAGAGCGCGGCAGUCAGAGCAUGUGGGCUAAGCUGUGUGCUCGAGAGGGAAACAGCCCGGACCGCCCGCUAAGGUCCCCAAGUUCCAGCCGAGUGGCAAAGGAUGUGCGUCCGCCCAGACAACCAGGAUGUUGGCUUAGAAGCAGCCAUGCAUUCAAAGAGUGCGUAACAGCUCACUGGUCGAGUGGACAUGCGCCGACAAUACACGGGGCUAAGCUGGACACCGAAGCGGCGGGAUUUUGAUUUUCAGAAUCGGUAGGGGAGCUUCCCAUGGGCGGGGAAGCCGCCGGGCGACCGGCGGUGGAGCGCAUGGGAGUGAGAAUGCUGGCAUGAGUAGCGAGAGACGAGAGAGUAACUCGUCCGCCGUGAACCCGAGGUUUCCUGGGCAAGGCUAAUCCUCCCAGGGUCAGUCGGGGGCUAAGGCGAGGCCGGGAGGCGUAGCCGACGCGCAGCAGGCAGACAUUCCUGCACCGCGCACGCGGCGCUACGACCGACGGGGCGACGGAUGGGGGUGGCUCGGCGGGGUUCUGGACGUCCCCGUGAUGGAGCGCGGCCCGCGGACCAGGGAAAUCCGGUCCGCACGAGGGCGAGGCUCCGGACGAAGCACUUAAGCGAAGCGAGUGAGCCCGAGGUCCCUAGAAAAACCCCUAGGCAGGCGCGUGCGCGCCCGUACCGCAAACCGACACAGGUGGGUGGGUAGAACAUACCGAGGCGAUCGGGUCAACCAUGGUCAAGGAACUCGGCACAAUGGCCCCGUAACUUAGGGAGAAGGGGUGCCCGCGCGUACGUGAACGGACUUGCUCCGGGAGCGGAGGCGGGCCGCAGUGGAGAGGCCCAAGCGACUGUUUACCAAAAACACAGGACUCUGCAGAAGCCGCAAGGCGACGUAUAGGGUCUGACGCCUGCCCGGUGCCGGAAGGUCACGCGGAGGAGUUAGCCGCAAGGCGAAGCCCCGAAGCCAAGCCCCGGUAAACGGCGGCCGUAACUAUAACGGUCCUAAGGUAGCGAAAUUCCUUGUCAGGU
rnacentral:rRNA from 1 species